GAACGCUAGCUACAGGCUUAACACAUGCAAGUCGCGGGGUAACAUCUGGUAGAGCUUGCUCUUCCAGGAUGACGACCGGCGCACGGGUGAGUAACGCGUAUCCAACCUGGCCCAUACCACGGGAUAGCCCGUCGAAAGGCGGAUUAAUACCGUAUGCUGUCAUUAAGAUGCAUAUAUUGAUGACGAAAGGACUGGCGGUAUGGGAUGGGCAUGCGGCGCAUUAGGCAGACGGCGGGGUAACGGCCCACCGUACCGACGAUGCGUAGGGGUUCUGAGAGGAAGGUCCCCCACAUUGGAACUGAGACACGGUCCAAACUCCUACGGGAGGCAGCAGUGAGGAAUAUUGGUCAAUGGGCGAGAGCCUGAACCAGCCAAGUAGCGUGCAGGAUGACGGCCCUAUGGGUUGUAAACUGCUUUUAUAAGGGAAUAAAGUGGAGGUCGUGACCUCUUUUGCAUGUACCUUAUGAAUAAGGACCGGCUAAUUCCGUG
rnacentral:rRNA from 1 species